CCAUGGAAAUGAAAGGUUGAGCUAGAACGGUGCCAACGCGCAUCUAAACUUCAGAACUGAACAGGGGCUUUUGUUUUUGCCAGCCAUGGGGUUUCAUUCCUUCUGAAGAUGUCACGGGGGAUUUUGGAAUGUGUGCCCAUGACUUCCUGGUUUUCUCUCCUUUUCCAGCCCACCUGGCUAACGAAACAUGGAGUGACUGACGUGGGAGUGCCUCGGAUCCUCACAUUCCUAGCUCUUCAGGCUCUCCCUUAGUUUUGCAUGUGCAUGUAAAUGGUAACGAGUAAGGUAUCUAUCCCAAAGAACCAAAAGCAGGGACUCGAACAGACAUUUGUACGCCCAUGUUCAGAGUAGCGUUAUUCGCGAUGGCGGAAAGGUGGAAGAAGGCCAAGUGUCCGUCCACGGACGAACGUGGUCCAUACACACAAUGGAAUAUUGCUCGGCCUUAAACAAGAAGGGGAUUCCGACACGCUAUAAUGUGGAUGCACCUUGAAAUUCAUCCGUGAUGCUGAGUGAAGUAAGCCGGUCGCAAAAGAACAAACACUGUGAGAGUCCUCACUGACGUGAGGUUCCUAGAGCAGUCAACUCACAGAGACAGAAUCAAUGGAGGCAAAAAACCAGGAGAUCCCAUAAAUCCCGUCGAGCUCGUCACAGCUGCCAAAUUAUGCCCUGAUAAAGCUUUUGGUGGCUAACGAUAUGGCCGUUCACCCGGAGUGGAUGCGGCCGGGAGGGAGGUUUCUGGAGAGCGUCUGGCCCACGGUGGAGACACUUGUCAUGAAGCGUUAUCUGAAGGCCCUCUGGCCCUAAUGAAGGGUGAAGCUUUGAACGUGAUUAUUUCUAAACAAAUAAAUAAUAAGGAUAACUUAAAAAUAAACAGAGAUCUCGA